UUAACUUGAGAAUUGCAUUGGGUACUGCCAGUCUUGAAUCACGGAGGGGAAACCGGAAUUCCAAGUGUAGGGGUGGAAUCUGUAGAUAUUUGGAAGAACACCGGUGGCGAAGGCGGGUUUCUGGCCGAUGAUUGACGCUGAGGUGCGAAGGUGUGGGGAGCAAACAGGAUUAGAUACCCUGGUAGUCCACACAGUAAACGAUGUACACUAGGUGUUGGGGCAAGAGCUUCAGUGCCGGCGCAAACGCAAUAAGUGUACCGCCUGGGGAGUAUGCCCGCAAGGGUGAAACUCAAAGGAAUUGACGGGGGCCCGCACAAGCGGUGGAGCAUGUGGUUUAAUUCGAUGAUACGCGAGGAAUCUUACCUGGGUUUGACAUCAAAAGCAAUAUUAUAGAGAUAUGGUAGCGUAGU
rnacentral:rRNA from 1 species